rnacentral:tRNA from 1 species
AGGAGUGUAGCUCAACUGGCAGAGCACCGGUCUCCAAAACCGGGGGUUGAGGGUUCAAGUCCUUCCACUCCUG